GUGAAUCAUCGAAUCUUUGAACGCAUAUUGCACUCUCUGGUAUUCCGGAGGGGAUGCCUGUUUGAGGGUAAUUAAAAAGAAUCGUUAACCACUUUUUUUUGGGCAAAGGAAGUGAGUUCUCCGCGUUUAUAGCGGUAGCUUUAAAUAAAUGGUCAAGACACAUUUUAGUCGAGACGCGUAUUAAUAUUCUUUCGCGAAAUCUUCAUUAUGUGAGUAUAAGGUUUUUAUGCAUACAAUUUUGGU
rnacentral:misc_RNA from 1 species